GCCGGGGUGGUGGAACUGGUAGACACGCACGUUUGAGGGGCGUGUGGCGCAAGCUGUACGGGUUCGAGUCCCGUCCCCGGCA
rnacentral:tRNA from 1 species